UAGAUUGCUAGUAAUUUAAAUCAAUCCUAUGACUAAAAACGAUCUCUGCAAUUUAGGGGCUACAACACGGAAUCUCUAGUCUUCUGUCAUCAC
rnacentral:rRNA from 1 species